AUGAACGCUGGCUACAGGCUUAACACCUGCCAGUCGCGGGGAAACGACGGGGAAGCUUGCUUCCCCGGGCGUCGACCGGCGCACGGGUGAGUAACGCGUAUCCAACCUGCCUCUGACUGAGGGAUAACCCGUCGAAAGUCGGCCUAAUACCUCAUGGUAUCGUCUGCGGGCAUCCAACGACGAUUAAAGAUUUCAUCGGUCAGGGAUGGGGAUGCGUCUGAUUAGCUUGUUGGCGGGGUAACGGCCCACCAAGGCUACGAUCAGUAGGGGUUCUGAGAGGAAGGUCCCCCACAUUGGAACUGAGACACGGUCCAAACUCCUACGGGAGGCAGCAGUGAGGAAUAUUGGUCAAUGGGCGAGAGCCUGAACCAGCCAAGUAGCGUGCAGGAAGACGGCCCUAGGGGUUGUAAACUGCUUUUAUGCGGGGAUAAAGUGAGGGACGUGUCCCUCAUUGCAGGUACCGCAUGAAUAAGGACCGGCUAAUUCCGUG
rnacentral:rRNA from 1 species